rnacentral:tRNA from 1 species
GCUCAGUCAGUUAAAGGGUCCAACUCUUGGUUUUAGCCCAAGUCAUGAUCUGUCAAUUGUGAGUUCAAGCCCCACAUUGGGCU